ACGCGAAAGGGACUUCGGUCCUGAGUAAAGUGGCGCACGGGUGAGUAACGCGUAGAUAACCUGUCUUUACGUCUGGAAUAAUACGCCGAAAGGGGUACUAAUACCGGAUAUUCUUGCUUUAUAUAAGUUUUGCAAGCAAAGGUGGCCUCUGACAUAAGCUACUGCAUAAAGAGGGGUCUGCGUACCAUUAGCUUGUAGGUGGGGUAAUGGCCUACCUAGGCGACCGAUGGUUAGCGGGUCUGAGAGGAUGAUCCGCCACACUGGCACUGGAACACGGGCCAGACUCCUACGGGAGGCAGCAGUGAGGAAUAUUGCGCAAUGGGGGCAACCCUGACGCAGCGACGCCGCGUGAGCGAGGAAGGCCUUCGGGUCGUAAAGCUCUGUCAAAGGGAAAGAAAUGUAUAAUGGUUAAUACCUGUUAUAUUUGACGGUACCCUUAAAGGAAGCACCGGCUAACUCCGUG
rnacentral:rRNA from 1 species